CGUCAUGAUUUGGGCAUUGCAUUAACUUAUCAUUAAAGUAUGUUGACAUACUUCAUACAAGGUUUCGCUAUUGAGUUGGUGAAAGUUGGUGAUUUCAUGUCUUAGGUG
rfam:Capsicum annuum cultivar Zunla-1 chromosome 4, whole genome shotgun sequence